UUUUUUUUUGGUUUUAUGGAAUGUUAUAAUAU
rnacentral:sRNA from 1 species